GAUGAACGCUGGCGGCGUGCCUAAUACAUGCAAGUCGAGCGAACAGACGAGGAGCUUGCUCCUCUGACGUUAGCGGCGGACGGGUGAGUAACACGUGGAUAACCUACCUAUAAGACUGGGAUAACUUCGGGAAACCGGAGCUAAUACCGGAUAAUAUAUUUAACCGCAUGGUUCAAUAGUGAAAGACGGUUUUGCUGUCACUUAUAGAUGGAUCCGCGCCGCAUUAGCUAGUUGGUAAGGUAACGGCUUACCAAGGCGACGAUGCGUAGCCGACCUGAGAGGGUGAGCGGCCACACUGGAACUGAGACACGGUCCAGACUCCUACGGGAGGCAGCAGUAGGGAAUCUUCCGAAAUGGGCGAAAGACUGACGGAGCAACGCCGCGUGAGUGAUGAAGGUCUUAGGAUCGUAAAACUCUGUUAUUAGGGAAGAACAAAUGUGUAAGUAACUAUGCACGUCUUGACGGUACCUAAUCAGAAAGCCACGGCUAACUACGUG
rnacentral:rRNA from 1 species